GUCACUGUGUAUCUUGGGAAUCUGUUGUAGGUUUUGAGACAAGUCUUGCUCAGCUUCAGUUGUCCAGAGGUUUGGAUCUCCCACAAGGGUUUGCCAGUAAUAACUUUACUGUUCUAGUGUGGGACAAUGUAGAUUUUGGAGAGGAAACAUCGUCAGGGAAGGGUACCACCCAUCACACUAUUUUCUAUUGUAAUUCUGAAGUCGUAACAACCUGAAGUGAUCCUAAAAAGUUUAACAUCUCUUGCUGGGUCCAACAAAAGUCAUUGUUUAAAAACAGAAAUGUUUUCGUGCCUAGUUUUCACUGUUCAAAUUUUAGCUGUGUAAAAUUUUGCUUCCAAUAUUGUAACUGGUCUGCUAGGUGAUAAAAUUCACACCACUUUUCAUAGUUAUUAGUUAACCAGACACAAAAGGAGAUCUUGCUAUUAGAGUUUUUCAAUUGAAAAUUCAAAGAAUUGCAGUUUUCAUGUGCAAUAAAGAUAUAUUAUGGGCAA